rnacentral:lncRNA from 1 species
GAUAAGGAUGUGUGGAGGAAGGUAGUUUAAUGAGUAAGGCUUGGGAAAGCUGUUGUCCCACAUCGCCAUCCUUCAAAGUGGGAAAAUGGCAACAAAAAAAGGUCCUGCUACUUCUAAGAUGCGAAAGAUGGUUUUGCAUAAGAUGCUGGUAAACAAAUACAUGCAAUGGAAGAAAUAUCUGUAUCACAAACAGCAUAUUUUCUGUCAUAGCCUUUGGAGAGGGAGUGACUAGCUGUACAGAGUAUACACGGAGCCCGAGGCCACGAGAGCCACAAGCAGGAACGCGCCCCAUCGUCCACAAAGGGAUUACAUAAACCUGCGAAGCUACAUCUUUGCUCUACUUGAAAGCAUUGUGAGUUUUGUCACUGAUUUUAAAGGGAACCAGAUUUGCUCUUAGUAGACAGGUUGAGUUCAUAAGCACUUAUUGUCUCUUCCUCAGUUUCUGUUUUAAUGUAGCAUAAACGUACUGAAGCUUAGCGUAUUGACAUCCGAGCUUUGGCUUCAUCGAGAUGCAACCAGUAAAACCUGUUGUAAAGUGCACUUGAGCUUGCUCGAGUAGGCUUGGUGCAGUUCUGGUGCACACUUUGUUAUCAUGAGACCACCUGGAGCAACAGGGGACUUCAUUUCUAAGGGGAGCUGACCUGCAGCAUUGAGGGUACGUCUUUGGGAGCAGAGCCUGGCUGGAUUGCCCACGUAGAAGUGGAUUACAGACAAAAUGGACAGGUGUGUAGGUCUAUUUGCACACAUGGGAUUGGCAUAAAAAUGCAAAUUGUCAGCAUAAUUUCCUUCCCGUCCUGAUGCUCCUAUCCAGCUUUUAUAGUUACAAUGUACUUGUUAUUGGCUUUGCUAUCCUUACUCAGUUUACCACCCAUCUCUGUU